GAUGACUCUGCUGUCCAUGGCUGAAAAACAGUAGCGCAUUUUGUAAGUGGUCGAUCUGAGAACAAUGAGACGGUAUUUGGAACUAAACCAACAUUUGUUGUUGAAGUAGAAGUCCUGGGAGUGCAUUCUGACAAAGAACAGCAAAGUCCGGCUGGCUUAGAUCAUGUGCUAACAACACGGAGCUUUUUGGACAUAAAUGAUGAGCUUUUUUGAACAAAACUACAUUCGUUAUGGACCUGGGAUUCCUGGAAGUGACAUCUGAUGAAGAGAAUCAAAGAUUGCAGCUGGUAGCAACAAGAAUAAGCGCUGCAAUGAUUAUGGACCCAAGAAAUACAGGAAGACACAGUACACAUGAAUCAAGUGCAAGAAAUACAUGUGCAACACACGCACAGUAAAACUCUGUCCCUCAUGUGGUGUGUAGACCGGUCUUAAUUUGUAUCCAAUGGGGCUCAUUUAUCAUUUCCAUAAAAUACUGUAUGUAAAAUGUUCCAAUGUGUUCAGUUCAAAGCAAUAAACAUCAAUAGUGAUGAAAACCUUGUUUCAUUUAUAUUUGUUCAAGAUAAACAUGAUUUAUUCCAC
rnacentral:lncRNA from 1 species